rnacentral:rRNA from 1 species
GACGAACGCUGGCGGCGUGCCUAAUACAUGCAAGUUGAGCGCUGAAGGUUGGUACUUGUACCAACUGGAUGAGCAGCGAACGGGUGAGUAACGCGUGGGGAAUCUGCCUUUGAGCGGGGGACAACAUUUGGAAACGAAUGCUAAUACCGCAUAAAAACUUUAAACACAAGUUUUAAGUUUGAAAGAUGCAAUUGCAUCACUCAAAGAUGAUCCCGCGUUGUAUUAGCUAGUUGGUGAGGUAAAGGCUCACCAAGGCGAUGAUACAUAGCCGACCUGAGAGGGGGAAGGGCCACAGUGAGACAGAGACGCUGCCCAAACUCCUACGGGGGGCAGGAGUAGGGUAUCUGCGGCAGGGGACGAAAGUCUGACCGAGCAACGCCGCGUGAGUGAAAAGGGUUUUCGUAGUAAAAAACUCUGUUGGUGGAGGAAAACGAUGGUGUGAAUGGAAAGCUGUUCUAGGGACAGUAACUAAACAGAAAGGGACUGAGAACGAC